GGGGAAUAUUGGACAAUGGGGGGAACCCUGAUCCAGCCAUGCCGCGUGUGUGAAGAAGGCCUUAUGGUUGUAAAGCACUUUAAGCGAGGAGGAGGCUCUUUUGGUUAAUACCCAGGAUGAGUGGACGUUACUCGCAGAAUAAGCACCGGCUAACUCUGUGCCAGCAGCCGCGGUAAUACAGAGGGUGCGAGCGUUAAUCGGAUUUACUGGGCGUAAAGCGUACGUAGGCGGCUUUUUAAGUCGGAUGUGAAAUCCCCGAGCUUAACUUGGGAAUUGCAUUCGAUACUGGGAAGCUAGAGUAUGGGAGAGGAUGGUAGAAUUCCAGGUGUAGCGGUGAAAUGCGUAGAGAUCUGGAGGAAUACCGAUGGCGAAGGCAGCCAUCUGGCCUAAUACUGACGCUGAGGUACGAAAGCAUGGGGAGCAAAC
rnacentral:rRNA from 1 species